rnacentral:rRNA from 1 species
UACGUAGGGGGCAAGCGUUGUCCGGAUUAUUGGGCGUAAAGAGCGUGUAGGCGGCCAAACAGGUCAGCUGUGAAAACUCGAGGCUCAACCUCGAGACGUCGGUUGAAACCGUUGGCUAGAGUCCGGAAGAGGAGAGUGGAAUUCCCGGUGUAGCGGUGAAAUGCGCGAGAUAUCGGGAAGAACACCCCGUGGCGAAAGGCGGCUCACUGGACCAUAACUGACGGCUGAGGCACGAAAGCGUGGGGAGCCAAAAGGG